rnacentral:rRNA from 1 species
GACGAACGCUGGCGGCGUGCCUAAUACAUGCAAGUUGAGCGCUGAAGGUUGGUACUUGUACCAACUGGAUGAGCAGCGAACGGGUGAGUAACGCGUGGGGAAUCUGCCUUUGAGCGGGGGACAACAUUUGGAAACGAAUGCUAAUACCGCAUAAAAACUUUAAACACAAGUUUUAAGUUUGAAAGAUGCAAUUGCAUCACUCAAAGAUGAUCCCGCGUUGUAUUAGCUAGUUGGUGAGGUAAAGGCUCACCAAGGCGAUGAUACAUAGCCGACCUGAGAGGGGUAUCGGCCACAUUUGGACUGGGACCCGGCCCAAACCCCUACGGGAGGCCGCAGUAGGGAAUCUUCGGCAAUUGACGAAAGUCUGACCGAGCAACGCCGCGUGAGUGAAGAAGGUUUUCGGAUCGGAAAACUCUGUUGGUAGAGAAGAACGUUUGUGAGAGUGGAAAGCUCAUCAAGUGACGGUAACUACCCAGAAAGGGACGGCUAACUACGUG